rnacentral:ncRNA from 1 species
CAUCGGAGUAGAAGCAGUCAGGCGCGAUGGGCGUCCGGUCAUUGCUCCACCC